GAUGAACGCUGGCGGCGUGCCUAAUACAUGCAAGUCGAGCGAACAGACGAGGAGCUUGCUCCUCUGACGUUAGCGGCGGACGGGUGAGUAACACGUGGAUAACCUACCUAUAAGACUGGGAUAACUUCGGGAAACCGGAGCUAAUACCGGAUAAUAUAUUGAACCGCAUGGUUCACUAGUGAAAGACGGUUUUGCUGUCACUUAUGGAUGGAUCCGCGCCGCAUUAGCUAGUUGGUAAGGUAACGGCUUACCAAGGCGACGAUGCGUAGCCGACCUGAGAGGGUGGUCGGCCACACUGGAACUGAGACACGGUCCAGACUCCUACGGGAGGCAGCAGUAGGGAAUCUUCCGCAAUGGGCGAAAGCCUGACGGUGCAACGCGGCGUGAGUGAUGAAGGUCUUCGGAUCGGAAAACUCUGUUAUUAGGGAAGAACAAAUGUGUAAGUAACUAUGCACGUCUUGACGGUACCUAAUCAGAAAGCCACGGCUAACUACGUG
rnacentral:rRNA from 1 species